AUUGAACGCUGGCGGCAGGCUUAACACAUGCAAGUCGAGCGAGCGGCGGACGGGUGUGUCAUGUCUGGGAACCUGCCUGAUGGAGGGGGUUAACUACUGGAAACGGUAGCUAAUACCGCAUACCUUCCGAUGAACCCAUAUGGGAUUGGCUUGUAGGUGAGGUAACGGCUCACCUAGGCGACGAUCCCUAGCUGGUCUGAGAGGAUGAUCAGCCACACUGGAACUGAGACACGGCCCAGACUCCUACGGGAGGCAGCAGUGGGGAAUAUUGCGCAAUGGGCGAAAGCCUGAUGCAGCCACGCCGCGUGUGUGAAGAAGGCCUUCGGGUUGUAAAGUACUUUCAGUCGGGAGGCGUUACCGACAGAAGAAGCACCGGCUAACUCCGUGCCAGCAGCCGCGGUAAUAC
rnacentral:rRNA from 1 species